rnacentral:rRNA from 1 species
UUAACCGGAUUAGAUACCCUGGUAGUCCACGCCGUAAACGAUGUCGACUUGGAGGUUGUGCCCUUGAGGCGUGGCUUCCGGAGCUAACGCGUUAAGUCGACCGCCUGGGGAGUACGGCCGCAAGGUUAAAACCCAAAUGAAUUGACGGGGGCCCGCACAAGCGGUGGAGCAUGUGGUUUAAUUCGAUGCAACGCGAAGAACCUUACCUGGUCUUGACAUCCACGGAAGUUUUCAGAGAUGAGAAUGUGCCUUCGGGAACCGUGAGACAGGUGCUGCAUGGCUGUCGUCAGCUCGUGUUGUGAAAUGUUGGGUUAAGUCCCGCAACGAGCGCAACCCUUAUCCUUUGUUGCCAGCGGUCCGGCCGGGAACUCAAAGGAGACUGCCAGUGAUAAACUGGAGGAAGGUGGGGAUGACGUA